GUCAGUUUGACAAUUCAUUUGUUUAUUUUCGGCGUUUUUUCUUUAAAAUUUUUUGCAUUUUCGGAAAUUUCGUACAUAAAAUUUAAGUAUGGAUACGGAUGUUCAUGGUCCUCCGCCACCUAGAGAGAGACAGCACCCACCAGAGCCUAGAGUGCGGCAGCCUCCCCCAGAGCCGCGGCAGAGGCAACCGCCGCCCGAGCCCCAAAGGGCUUCGGCACAUCGCCCGCCGCAACCACGCGAAAGGCAACCUCCACCACCGCCUAGAGAAAGACACGCUCCGCCGCCGCCGAAGCAUUAAGCUCCAAGGACCCUUUCAAAGAAGACGUGCAGAUUAAACGUCAGCUGUGCUACUGCAAGACCACAGACCAAGUACUGUUGGUAAUUGUCAUUUUUAUUCCAACGCAGUUAUCAUAUAUUUUUCCAUAUCCAAUCCUGCAAAGAUCGACUGACGUCCGUGAUGAUGUCUAUUUGAAAGAGCCCUUAUAUUGAGCAGUCAAGCUCCACAUUUUAUGAAUCCAUGAAAGUUAAUGAAAAACACCAAGUGUAGGACAUGUAAUGAGUCAUUAUUAUAAUAUGCAUGAUAUGUGUUUGUAUUGUGCAACUGGUUACUUAGGCAAUGAAUAAUCUACAACUUCAAGAUCUGUACACAGAUGAUAUUACCUACCUACAAUAGAAUUAAGUAUGGGCAUUUGAUAUUCAUAAUUAAAUCAACUUUGGCUGUGUCAAAUUGACUUGGAUUUAAGUAAAAAUUAUUACUAAAGUUAUUAUGAACAAAAACUUUCCAAAUAUUUUUAUAAAAUAUUAUAUUGUUACCCACAAGACUAAUCUGUUUGUGAUAACGACUCAUUAGUACUUGUGAAAUUAAUUAGUUAAGAGAGAAUACUUUUAGAUAUUUUUUUUGUUAUGUUAAAAUGGCGCUAUGAAGCUGCUAAAGACUCCAAACAAAUGCUUAGGGUCUUGGCUUGAUAAUAUUCUAUAAUGUUAUUUUAUUAAAAUUUAUAUUGCUGGUAUGUCUAAAACUGUAACUUUUAGCACCUUUAGAUAAACAAUUAUUCUUUGUUGAUAUGAGUACAUAUUAUAAUUAAUUUGAACAAUGUUCUGUUUUAAAUUUUAAGAUGAAAAAAAAAAUAGAAUAAAUACAGAUCAAAUAGAUGACAUAUUGAUUUCAUUUGAUAAUUCAAUAACACAUUAAAAUCAGGUGUGUCUUUAAUGGCACUGUAAAUGCCAUUGCAUGUAUUUAUUCUAUUUAUUUUUCGUAAAAUUUAAAACAACACACUAAUCAAAUUAAUUAAAAUAUGUACUCAUAUCAAAAACUAAUUGUUUAUCUAAAGGUGCUAAGAAUAAAAUUGUUUUUAAAUGUAUGUUUUCUAAUAAAAAGUCAUUUAUUUGCA